AGAGGGAAGAGACGAAGAUGAGGAAGAUGAGGGGGAGAUAAUAAAGAGAGUUAUCUUUGUACUCUUAUUAUUUCAAAUUAUAAUGAAAGCACCACUGCUGCCCCGAGGACGUACUCCAGUCACACUGACUGUAGAGGAACCUCGUAAAUUUUGUGUCUUGUUUCAUUUAUUCCACUGCACCCACAGUUGAUUUUACAACACGUUAUCAGCACGAAAAGCUCUCAUGUCAGUGGAAAGCACAACACCAUAAAUCCGGAGAAGCAUUAUCUACUUCUCACCUCGGUCAGCUAAAAUCUCACAGAGUAGAGACGGCAAGCCAGACAUGUCAAACAGGGAAGAUCAUCUUGUCACAAAAAUCCAUCAACCUUUCUUUUAUCACCUUUUCCUUUAUCACUCUAACUAUUGAUGUGCUAAUCCUUAUCCCUGCUAGACCUGCAAUCUAUUUUUCUCUCGUGGACAAGAAAGAUGGAGAGAUCUUACAGACAAACAAAGGUGCAGCAAAACAAGCAAAGAGAUCCAGAAGAAUCUCAUUAGACUUGGAAACCCAGAUCGUGUCGUUCUCAAUGGAUCUCGAGGACCUCCAUGAAUCCUCAAUUGUCUGAGAUGGUGAUGGCAUGACUGACUCCACACAGGCCUCCCUCUCUUGUGCCUCCGUCAACCUCACUGUCAUCUGUCUCUGUGGAGAGAUUCUUGCUUUGCGAUGCCAUGUUCUUUGGGCCAUGCGAGAACAACGCCAGUAUCUGGUAGCCUUUUUGGAUUGAAUUGGUUUUGUGUGACCUCCACAACAACCCAGCUGAUACUGGGUUUCGAGACUGGUAGAGACAGACAAAGAAAAGGGGGAAGAUUAUGGAAUAUGCAUGGCACAAUCUGAAAAAGGCAAUAAUGUAUGAUACCAUUUGAAAAAGCAAGAAAUAAAUAAAUAAAAUUAAAAAGGAAAUGGGGCCAAUGAUUUGGAAAGGUGCGUUGCACCAUGUAAAAAUGAAAGAAAAAGGCAAUGUUUUUUGGAAUGGUGUAGAAUGUGGUUGAAUAAGAAAAUAAUAAAAAUAAAAUAAAGGUAAAGGUUUUUGGAUGGUGUUACACCAUCUGAAAAGAAAGAAGAAAAUAUGUAUAUAUUUAUUUAUAUGAAUGGUGUUGGCUUAAAACA